UACGUAGGGUGCAAGCGUUGUCCGGAAUUAUUGGGCGUAAAGAGCUCGUAGGCGGUUUGUUGCGUCGGCUGUGAAAUCCCGAGGCUCAACCUCGGGUCUGCAGUCGAUACGAGCAAACUAGAGUGUUGCAGGGGAGACUGGAAUUCCUGGUGUAGCGGUGAAAUGCGCAGAUAUCGGGAGGAACACCAGUGGCGAAGGCGGUUGCCUGGAGCUUUGCUGACGCUGAUGCGCGAAAGCGUGGGGAGCGAUCCGG
rnacentral:rRNA from 1 species